AGGCCCGUAGCUCAGUUGGUUAGAGCACACGCUUGAUAAGCGUGGGGUCGGCAGUUCAAAUCUGCCCGGGCCUA
rnacentral:tRNA from 1 species